GCCAGACUCCUACGGGAGGCAGCAGUAGGGAAUCUUUCACAAUGGGCGAAAGCCUGAUGGAGCAACGCCGCGUGCAGGAUGAAGGCCUUCGGGUUGUAAACUGCUUUUAUAAGCGAGAAAUAUGAUGGUAACUUAUGAAUAAGCAUCGGCUAACUCCGUGCCAGCAGCCGCGGUAAUACGGAGGAUGCGAGCGUUAUCCGGAUUUAUUGGGUUUAAAGGGUGCGUAGGCGGCAUUAUAAGUUAGUGGUAAAAUAUUGGGGCUUCACCUCACUACGCCAUUAAUACUGUAGAGCUAGAGAACAGACGAGGUAGGCGGAAUAAGUUAAGUAGCGGUGAAAUGCAUAGAUAUAACUUAGAACUCCGAUAGCGAAGGCAGCUUACCAGACUGCGACUGACGCUGAAGCACGAGAGCGUGGGUAGCGAACAGGAUUAGAUACCCCUGUA
rnacentral:rRNA from 1 species